AGCAUCUUCUCAGAUCUGCCCCCGGGAACCAGUAUGUGCUAUAACCACAGCAAGAUCAAACCAAGCCUGCUCUUCCUGAAAAAAGACCCCUUUUGGUUUCAGCCCAGGGAGGUCCAGGUCUUCAUGUUCCUGUGGAUGACACUACUGACCCUGGCUCCUGUCAUUGGACAGUUGGAAACUGCACGCAAACCUGUGAUUUCCCUCCAACCUCCAUGGACCACUGUCUUCCAAGGGGACACAGUGACUCUGACUUGCAAUGGGUUUCGCCUCUACCCACCACAGAAAACAAAAUGGGAACAUCGCUAUUCUGGGAAAGAAAUAGAAACCCCAGGAAACACCCUUAAGGUCCGUGAAUCUGGAGAGUACAGUUGCCAGAUCAGAGGCUCACCCCCAAGUAACCCUGUGCACCUGGUCUUUUCCUCAGACCCGCUGAUCCUACAGGCUCCCCUCUCUGUGUCUGAAGGAGACAAAGUGGUCCUGAGGUGCCAGACAAGGGCCAAAGGAUCGCUGUACACUAUUUACAAGGAUGGUCAAUGCCUGCAACACCUUGAGAGAAGCUCUUCCUUUACUAUUGGUCAUGCGCGUCUGGAGGACAAUGGUGACUAUCACUGCAAUGGAUAUACGGAAGAUCUCUACCUUUCUUCCAACACAGUCAAAAUCCAAGUUCGAGUCAAAAGAGUUUUUGCCAACUUCCAAACACACCCUCUCCCAGCUUCCAAGUCCGUAUUUGAAGGUCAGGAUCUAUUGUUCACCUGCUCAGCAGAUGGAGUCCCAGGGGCCACAUUCUCCUGGUAUAGAAGAUUUAAAAACCUGGGUAAGGAAAGGAUUUGGAUGUACUCAAGAGCAGAGUUCCAGAUCUUGGUGAAAAGCAGCCAUGCUGGGGAGUAUUUCUGUGAAGCAAAGAACAAACGCACCUCCAUUCUCCGCAGCAACCCAGUGGCCAUCGAGGUGAAAGUCCCUGUAUCUCAUCCUGUCCUCACCAUCAGCUCUGCUGGGGCCGGGACUUUUGAGGGAGCCCUGGUGACACUUCGCUGUGAAGCCCAGAGAGGUUCUCUACCCAUCCUGUACCAAUUUUAUCGUGAGGACGCCCGCCGGGGGAGCCGCUUAAUCCUGCCCACAGGGAGAGCAUCCUUCAACCUCUCCUUGACCAUAGAGAAUUCUGGAAACUACUACUGCACAGCUGACAAUGGCCUCGGCCCCCAGCGCAGUGAGCUGGUGAAACUGCCUAUCUCUGUUCCAGUGUCUCGCCCCAUCCUCACCUUCAAGACUCCCCGGACCCAGGCUGUGCUCGGGGACAUGGUGAAGCUUUGCUGUGAGGCCCAGAGAGGCUCUUCCCCAAUCCUGUACUGGUUUUAUCAUGAUGAUGUCACCCUGGGGAGCACCAUAGUCCCCUAUAGAGGAGAGGCAUCGAUCAACCUCUAUCUGACUGCAGAACAUUCUGGAAACUACUUCUGUGAGGCUGACAAUGGCCUGGGAGCCCAGCGCAGUGAUGCUGUGUCACUCAGUGUUACCAUUCCAGCGUCCCAGCCAGUCCUUACCCUCAGGACUCCUCGGGCCCAGGCUGUGGUGGGAGACAUGGUAAAGCUUUCCUGUGAGGCCCAGAGAGGCUCUCCCCCAAUCCUGUACCGGUUUUAUCACAAUGAUGUCACCCUGGGGAGCAGCUCAUCUUUCUAUGGAGAAGAGGCAUCCAUCAACCUCUAUCUAACUGCAGAACAUUCUGGAAACUACUUCUGUGAGGCUGACAAUGGCCUGGGAGCCCAGCGCAGUGAUGCUGUGUCACUCAGUGUUACCAUUCCAGCGUCCCAGCCAGUCCUUACCCUCAGGACUCCUCGGGCCCAGGCUGUGGUGGGAGACAUGGUAAAGCUUUCCUGUGAGGCCCAGAGAGGCUCUCCCCCAAUCCUGUACCGGUUUUAUCACAAUGAUGUCACCCUGGGGAGCAGCUCAUCCUUCUAUGGAGAAGAGGCAUCCAUCAACCUCUAUCUAACUGCAGAACAUUCUGGAAACUACUUCUGUGAGGCUGACAAUGGCCUGGGAGCCCAGCGCAGUGAUGCUGUGUCACUCAGUGUUACCAUUCCAGCAUCCCAGCCCAUCCUCACAUUCAGGACUCCUCGAGGCCAGGCUGUGGUGGGGGAUGUGGUGAAGCUUUGCUGUGAGGCCCAGAGUGGUUCUCCCCCAAUCGUGUACCGGUUUUAUCGUGAGAAUUUCACUCUGGGGAGCAGCUCAGCCCCCUAUGGAGGAGAGGCGUCUACCAACCUUUCUGUGACUGCAGAACAUUCUGGAAACUACUUCUGUGAGGCUGACAAUGGCCUGGGGGCCCAGCGCAGUGAGGUGGUGACACUCGAAGUCACAGUUCCAGCAUCUCGCCCCAUCCUCACCGUCAGGAUGCCCCGGGCCCAGACUGUCGUGGGGGACAUGGUGGAACUUCGCUGUGAGGCCCUGAAAGGCUCUCCCCCUGUCCUGUACCAGUUUUAUCAUGAGAAUUUCACCCUGGGGAACAGCUCAGCCCCCUCUGGAGGAGGAGCAUCCAUCAACCUCUCUCUGACUGCAGAACAUUCUGGAAACUACUCCUGUGAGGCCAACAAUGGCCUGGGAGCUCAGCGCAGUGAGGUGGUGACACUCAUCUUCACAGGGCUGCCUGACAACAGAAAGGGUCUUGUUGCCACGGGAGUCACAGGGGGGCUGUUCAGCAUGAUGGGCCUUGCUGCCGGGGCACUGCUGCUCUACUGCUGGCUCUCAAGGAAAGCAGGGGGAAGGCUCGCCUGUGACCCCUCCAGGAGCCCUUCAGACAUGGACCCCCUACCACAAGAGCCCACCUACCACAAUGUGCCAGGCUGGAUAGAACUGCAGCCGGUGUACAGCAACAUAAAUCCUAGCGGAGGGGACGUGGUUUACAGCGAAGUACAGAGCAUCCAAAAGAAAAAAAGACGUGCAGAGUUCAAGCUCUGGACCAAACUGCUGCUCAUUGUGAAUCCAGGGAGCCAGAAAGAGUGAGCCCUGUCUGGAGAAUAUCCACUUUCACUAGUUUGAAGCCCUGGAGCUGUGCACAGAGACAUCAUCAACAGAGAGAGAGAGAACUUGCCUAUUUGUAGCACUCAGGACUGUACCUGCCACAUACAAACUGCCCACCACAUGGUAGAAGACAGAAGGUACCCCUGCACAAACGUGUACGUAGCCCACACGUGUGUGUAUGCACAUUAUAAACGCAUAUAACUUCUCCAUGAUCCUGUGGGCAUAUAUACUAUCCCCAUCAUACAGGGAAGAUGUUGAGUGACUUGUCCAAGGCCACCGAGGUGGAAAGGCAGCUGGCCUGGCAGCACAGGUGCAGGGAGGGUACUCCAGCAGGCCUUCCAUGGCUAACUACUUUCCUCUUUCCAUAGCAGCCUCUGCACCUGGGCACUCCAGAAACAAGGCCACCUCCGUCAUCUACUCCCAGGUGAAGGUGGCAUCCGCCCCAGCCUCCACGUCCCAGCUCUCGGCUUCCUCGGCUUCCUCAGCUCCUCACAGAUGAGUCCACCCAUUUCCCCA